AUAGCUCAGUCGGUAGAGCAUCA
rnacentral:piRNA from 2 species